rnacentral:rRNA from 1 species
GAUGAACGCUGGCGGCGUGCCUAAUACAUGCAAGUCGAGCGAACAGACGAGGAGCUUGCUCCUCUGACGUUAGCGUCGGACGGGUGCGUAACACGUGGAUAACCUACCUAUAAGACUGGGAUAACUUCGGGAAACCGGAGCUAAUACCGGAUAAUAUAUUGAACCGCAUGGUUCAAUAGUGAAAGACGGUUUUGCUUUCACUUAUAGAUGGAUCCGCGCCGCAUUAGCUAGUUGGUAAGGUAACGGCUUACCAAGGCAACGAUGCGUAGCCGACCUGAGAGGGUGAUCGGCCACACUGGAACUGAGACACGGUCCAGACUCCUACGGGAGGCAGCAGUAGGGAAUCUUCCGCAAUGGGCGAAAGCUUGACGGAGCAACGCCGCGUGAGUGAUGAAGGUCUUCGGAUCGUAAAACUCUGUUAUUAGGGAAGAACAAAUGUGUAAGUAACUAUGCACGUCUUGACGGUACCUAAUCAGAAAGCCACGGCUAACUACGUG